UAGGGGAAGUCUUCCGCAAUGGGCGCAAGCCUGAUGGAGCAACACCGCGUGAGUGAAGAAGGGUUUCGGCUCGUAAAGCUCUGUUGUUAAAGAAGAACACGUAUGAGAGUAACUGUUCAUACGUUGACGGUAUUUAACCAGAAAGUCACGGCUAACUACGUGCCAG
rnacentral:rRNA from 1 species